rnacentral:rRNA from 1 species
UGUACGGGGCUCAGCCAUGAGCCGAAGCUUAGGAUGCCGUAAGGCAUGGUAGCAGAGCGUAGUGUGACAUAAGACUUAUCCUAUAUUGCCGCCGGUCAUUUGGUGCGUGUAAGCGCUCAAGUAGCCGAAUAGGCGGUAGCGCAGGAUCAAGUCUUUUCGAUGAAGCCGGCGCGUGAGCGAUCCGGUGGAGAGAUCACUAGUGAGAAUGAUGACAUGAGUAGCGACAAAGAGUGUGAGAGACACUCUCGCCGAAAGUCCAAGGGUUCCUGCUUAAAGCUAAUCUGAGCAGGGUAAGCCGGCCCCUAAGCCGAGGCCGAAAGGCGUAGGCGAUGGGAACUAGGUUAAUAUUCCUAGGCCGUGGAGUGGUGACGGAUCUCAGAGGUAGUUCAUCCUUAUUGGAUUGAAUGGGCUGCUGAGAGGUUCCUGGAAAUAGCCCUCCUAUAAGACCGUACCCUAAACCGACACAGGUGGACUGGUAGAGAAUACCAAGGCGCUUGAGAGAACGAUGUUGAAGGAACUCGGCAAAAUACCUCCGUAAGUUCGCGAGAAGGAGGCCCGGUUCCUAGGCAACUAGGGGCUGGGGGCACAAACCAGGGGGUGGCGACUGUUUAUUAAAAACACAGGGCUCUGCGAAGUCGCAAGACGACGUAUAGGGUCUGACGCCUGCCCGGUGCCUGAAGGUUAAAAGGAGAGGUGAGAGCCUUGAAUUGAAGCCCAGGUAAACGGCGGCCGUAACUAUAACGGUCCUAAGGUAGCGAAAUUCCUUGUCGGGUAAGUUCCGACCUGCACGAAUGGCGUAACGACUUCCCCGCUGUCUCCAACAUCGACUCAGCGAAAUUGAAUUGCCUGUCAAGAUGCAGGCUUCCCGCGGUUAGACGGAAAGACCCCGUGCACCUUUACUACAGCUUCGCACUGGCAUCAGGAUUGUGAUGUGCAGGAUAGGUGGUGGGCUUUGAAGCAGAGACGCAAGUCUUUGUGGAGCCUCCCUUGAGAUACCACCCUUCGCACUCUUGAUGUCUAACCGCGGUCCGUUAUCCGGAUCCGGGACCCUGCGUGGCGGGUAGUUUGACUGGGGCGGUCGCCUCCUAAAGCGUAACGGAGGCGCGCGAAGGUUGGCUCAGAGCGGUCGGAAAUCGCUCGUUGAGUGCAAUGGCAGAAGCCAGCCUGACUGCGAGACUGACAAGUCGAGCAGAGUCGAAAGACGGCCAUAGUGAUCCGGUGGUCCCGAGUGGAAGGGCCAUCGCUCAACGGAUAAAAGGUACGCCGGGGAUAACAGGCUGAUACUGCCCAAGAGUC